GGAUGAACGCUGGCGGCGUGCCUAAUACAUGCAAGUCGAGCGAACAGACGAGGAGCUUGCUCCUCUGACGUUAGCGGCGGACGGGUGAGUAACACGUGGAUAACCUACCUAUAAGACUGGGAUAACUUCGGGAAACCGGAGCUAAUACCGGAUAAUAUAUUGAACCGCAUGGUUCAAUAGUGAAAGACGGUUUUGCUGUCACUUAUAGAUGGAUCCGUGCCGCAUUAGCUAGUUGGUAAGGUAACGGCUUACCAAGGCAACGAUGCGUAGCCGACCUGAGAGGGUGAUCGGCCACACUGGAACUGAGACACGGUCCAGACUCCUACGGGAGGCAGCAGUAGGGAAUCUUCCGCAAUGGGCGAAAGCCUGACGGAGCAACGCCGCGUGAGUGAUGAAGGUCUUCGGAUCGUAAAACUCUGUUAUUAGGGAAGAACAAAUGUGUAAGUAACUAUGCACGUCUUGACGGUACCUAAUCAGAAAGCCACGGCUAACUACGUG
rnacentral:rRNA from 1 species